rnacentral:rRNA from 1 species
UACAGAGGGGGGCAAGCGUUAUUCGGAAUUAUUGGGCGUAAAGGGCGCGUAGGCGGCUUUGCAAGUGACGGGUGAAAUCCCUCGGCUUAACCGAGGAACUGCCUGUCAAACUGCAUGGCUUGAGACCGGGAGAGGUGAGUGGAAUUCCCAGUGUAGCGGUGAAAUGCGUAGAUAUUGGGAGGAACACCAGUGGCGAAGGCGGCUCACUGGACCGGUACUGACGCUGAUGCGCGAAAGCGUGGGGAGCAAACAGGG